CCUACGGGUGGCUGCAGUGGGGAAUAUUGGACAAUGGGCGAAAGCCUGAUCCAGCCAUGCCGCGUGUGUGAAGAAGGCCUUCGGGUUGUAAAGCACUUUCAGUGGGGAAGAAAGCCUUGGGGCUAAUACCCUCGAGGAAGGACAUCACCCACAGAAGAAGCACCGGCUAACUCCGUGCCAGCAGCCGCGGUAAUACGGAGGGUGCGAGCGUUAAUCGGAAUUACUGGGCGUAAAGCGCGCGUAGGCGGUCUGAUAAGCCGGUUGUGAAAGCCCCGGGCUCAACCUGGGAACGGCAUCCGGAACUGUCAGGCUAGAGUGCAGGAGAGGAAGGGAGAAUUCCCGGUGUAGCGGUGAAAUGCGUAGAGAUCGGGAGGAAUACCAGUGGCGAAGGCGGCCUUCUGGACUGACACUGACGCUGAGGUGCGAAAGCGUGGGUAGCAAACAGGAUUAGAUACCCGUGUAGUC
rnacentral:rRNA from 1 species